AACGAACGCUGGCGGCAUGCCUAACACAUGCAAGUCGAACGAGACCUCCGGGUCCAGUGGCGCAUGGGUUCGUCACCCGUGGGAACCUGCCCUUAGGUUUGGACUAACUCUCCGACUGGGGUGCUAAUACCGGACAAUGUCUUCUGACCAAAGAUUUAUCGCCCUUGGAUGUGCCCGAGUUGGAUUAGCUAGUUGUUAGGGUAAAAGCCUCCCAAGGCGACGAUCCAUAGCUGGUCUGAGAGGAUGGUCAGCCACACUGAGAGUGAGACACGGCCCAGACUCCUACGGGAUGCAGGAGUGGGUGAUGGAGGACAGUGGGCGGAAUGAUGAAGCAGCUAUGCCGCGUGAGUGAUGAAGGCCGUAGGGUUGUAAAGCUCUAUUACCCGGGAUGAUAUUGACAGUACCGGGAGAAUAAGCUCCGGCUAACUCCGUG
rnacentral:rRNA from 1 species